rnacentral:lncRNA from 1 species
AGCAGAAGGGUAAGCAGGACAGUGACUAACGUAGCAUCACGCCUCAUUGGAGAGGAAGAUACUGUCUACAACGUGAGCAUCAAUGCACCAAAAGGGUUACGAGUCAGAGUGAUACCAAGAAGUCUACACUUCAAGAAUAUAGGAGAUACGCUAAGAUACCAAGUGAUCUUUUCAUCUUCUACAUCCACACUUAAAGAAGAUGCGUUUGGUUCAAUCACAUGGUCUAAUGGAAUGUACAGAGUUAGAAGUCCGUUCGUUGUAACAAGCAAAGCUGAUAUAUAAUAUGUUUUUCUAAAACCAUAUAAUAAAAGAGAAAUAAGGUUUGUUACACACUCAAUUAUUCAAACCAAAAGAAAAAAGAGACAACAUAACACAACUUCAAGUCACUCAAAGGCCCAUGCAUUCUCCUUGCGAACCUCAGCUUCUUCCGCAUCUGUGUAGUCUUUCUUGAUGUGGAAGAUUUCGCGAAUCUGAAGCACAGUCUUGCCUCUCAUCAUAGUCUUGCACGUUAGGUCAAGAAGUCCAGGGAUGAUCAGAAAGUUUGCAGCCUACAAAACAUAUCAUCAAAACCCUAACAGAAUCAUGAAUGAUUAGAAACCCUAAUUGGCUAAGAAAACGUGACUCACAAGCAUGAGAUCAAAGAGGAGAGGCUGGUCGACUUUGACGAAUUCUUCGUCCCAAGUCUUGAGCUCGAUGUCUUUGUUAGCACCGUAGAUGUCUUUGUCUCCGGCGUUGGCUUCGGCGGCUGCGGCUGCUUCGACGUGUUUCUUGCAGUAGUCGAUAACCUUGGUGAGGGUUGCACUGUUGACGUUUGCAAGAGGGAUUCCGCCAUCGGUGCAGUCGUCCUCGAUCAUGUUCUUGAUCGUCUGACACUCGAGCGCAACGGCUUCAUCGACCUCGAAAGAUUCGCCUUCGGAGCUCUCGAAGAUGAUCUUCUUCGACAUAGUUGGCAGAAUAUUCUAAAAGGCAGAGAGGGAGAUGAGAUGACGAAUGAAUACAAAAGGUGGUGGAUCGGUGCUUUAUUUAUAGGACCUGAUUGUUAAAACUAGAGAAUCGAAAUUAUAUAUUAACAUUGGUUUUUUGUUAGAGAAAAAGACAAGGAUAGCACCAAAACAAUUUUUUGUUCCCAAAGUAGCACUCAAAGCUCAAAGUCACAAAAAUAGGUUUCAUUAAAGAGGUAAAUAUACAUUUAUAUCCCUUGGGUUAAUUAAUCCAAACCUUAGGGUUUAGAGUUAAGGGGUGGGGUUUUGGAAUUAGGAUUUAAAAUUUUAUAAAAAAUAAAUACUAAAAUAAAAAAUAAAAAUUUUAAAAACAGUUUUAAAAAGUAUUUUUAAAUUAUAAAAAGAAAAUUUGAAAAAAAAAUAAAAAAAAUUUCAAAAAAAAAUUUCAAAAAAAAAGUUAUAAAAAUUUCGAAUCUGAAAACAUAUAAUCUGAAACUAUGAAAAAAUUUCUUUUUCUCAUUUUUUUUAUUUUUAUUUUAUUUAUUUUUGUUUGUUUAUUUAAUUUUAAACCAAGGGUAUUAGGGAUAUUUUAUUCUUUAAUAAAUGUCAUUUUUGUGACUUUCUCCUUCUAGUGCUAUUUUUGAGACAUAAACUUCAAAAGGUGCUAUUAUUGACAAUUGUCAUUUUUGUUAUCCAGGAAAUGAAUAAAAAAAUGUAAAUAUAUACUUCCAAAAUUUAAUAUGAAAUUUCCAUCUUCGGAUGAUGAUACGGAUGAAAAAGCUUUCAAAAUUGUAAAGUAAUUUUGGAAAAUAAGGAAAGGUAAAUUCAAAGAUUUUUUUUUGGGUGAACUUAGGAACUAUUACUAGGCUGUAAAUUUAAAUACACUUAAUAUAGACAUGGCUUACAAUAUACUAAAAGAAUAAAUAUAUCUUGAAAUAAAAAUGUCUUUUUUCAAAUUAAAAAAUAUGAUUUCUUGCCUUGUUUAUGUCCAAUGCAAUUUAUAGACAUAUAUCGUUUAGGCUGUCAAGCUGACAUGUCUUGGGAUAGGGCUGGACAUAAAUAUCUGCACCCAAAAAACCCACCCGGAACCGAUCCACAAAUAAGGGUAUCCGACCCGAUCGGAUUUUGCCUAAAUAUCCGAAAAGAUUUUUUUUUCAAAACCCAAAUAAACGAAAUCAAAUCCGAUCCGCACCGAAAAUCGAAUGAGAUCCAAACAUAUAAUUAUAUUUAUAUUAAUAUUAAUACCUAAAAUUAAAAUUAAAUAUAAUAGUUAUUUUGGGUAUCUAUAGAUAAAUAGGGAUGUUUCAGAUACAUAUAUCCAAAUAACAUUGUAUCUAUGGUUGUUGUAAAAAAACAUUGUAUCUAUGGUUACUUUCGGACAAGAAAAUAACCAAUUUGAACUAUAUAUUGAGUAUUUUUGGUUUAUGUUAUUUUAGAUAAGUUUGAGUAGUUUAUAUAUAAAAUGUCGGAGUUGAAUCGAGUAAUUUGGUUAUUUUGGUUAAAACCCAACCCCACCCGGUUUCGGGCUAACCCAUUUUUUAUAAUACCCGAAUGGGACUAUUUUUCAAAAUCCAAAAAAUCUGGUAUCCGAAUGGGUAGUAUCCAUAUCUGAAUGGAUAUUCGAACGACCAUGCCUAUAUUAGGAUGUGACUAGACGAUCUAACUAGAAAACCAGAUUCUACAUUUUCUAGGUAGUCUAGGGUAUCAGCAGGACCGUCUUAAGCAAUUUAAUUGUUUUCAGUGAAGUACUUAAUAUGAGCUCUUUUGAAAACAUUUUCUUAACUUUUAUUUCUUGCAUUUUCUUAAGUUGGACCUUUUUUUUUUUUUGAAACAUUCUUAAGUUGGACCAAUAGAAUUUUUUAAUCUGGAAAAACUAUAAAAUAGUGAAACCAUACAGCUUUUUUAUAGGGUUUUGUCUUGUUGUGUGUUAGUUAGUUUUAGUUGAUUAUAUGGACCUUUUAUUAUAACUUUACCAAGUAUUUAAUCUUUCAACAAUUUAAAAUACAGACCUCAGGCAUGGCUGAAUUUCUCGACAGUGUUGGAAGAGAUUCAAGAAAUAUUUCAGGAUAAGCUAUACUUGUCGAUCAGAAACAGAAUAGGACUGCAGAUCAUUUAGCUAGAUCCGCUCGAUCUUUCAUAGGUUUCUUUCUUACGUUGGUUAUUCAUUCCGAUCUGAUUAACCAGACCACUUUAAAAUUGAAUAAUAAAAUAGUUUUUUUUUUGUUGUAAAAAAGUUGAAAUGAACCUUUAUAAUUAAUAAAAUAACUAAAAAUUUUAUGCGCCCGUGUAUCCAGGGCAACCACCUCUAUAGCCAUGGUCAAGGGCCGGGACUGCAUAUCGGCAAUAUGACUCUUGCAUUAUUCGGUAACGAUGGUCAUGAUACUUACUGCCCAAUCAAGAUUAUGCAUCGGUGCUAUGGAAACUGCUAACUUAAUAAUGAAAGCCAAGACGAUCAUGCCCUCGGAGCUCCUCUCAUCAAAAAAUAAUUAGUUAAGCAAAAUAUACCCUAGUAGAUCGUGUGACGUGUAUAUUGAAGAUUUGUGAUACAAGACAGUCUAUGAUAUUUUUAGACAUGUCGUAAUGCUCGCAUAUUUUUGGUGGAUGUUGAGUAUACAUGGAUUCCGAGUACUUGUGGUAGAUGUGGACACUUAGGAUAUAAAGAAAAAAGAUGUCUACUCCCAGCUGUCCAAAAGAAUGUGGAAACACUUUCAGUGGAUGAGGUGCUAAAUGAAGAUCGUGGGGUUGAGCCGAAUAAGGAACAGUCAUGAUAAGAGGUGAUACAAGUUGAAGAUUCAGAAGCGGAUUUGGUUUUAGCUUCUACUGAUCAUAUUUUAGAGCCCACUAAUGGGACAGAGAUUGAGCAAUUGCAAUCAGAAAAGGGUGUUGAGCUUAAGGUUCUUUCAACGCCAGUAAAGCUAUCCGUCCACUCUAAGGUAACAAUAGCUAAUGGCUCCAACUCUCAAUCCACUACACCACCAUUUGCAGGUACCCCUCCUGCUCCAGAUGAAUUAACUAUUAUGGAAGAAAUUCCAUCUCAUAUUAUUGUUUCCGAGACCAAUUUGGAAUCAGGAGACAAUUCAUUGGCUUUUAUGUACACACCUACACAUGGCAGCCCUUUUCACAAUGACAUUGGGCAAUUCAGUGUUCAUGAUGUUGGAGAUGGGAUGAUGAGUGAUGCUAUGGCAAAUCUCAACAUAUCAAGAGGUGGGAGGCCAAUAAAACCAGUUCAGAAAUAUCAAGAUAUGGAUUGAACUAUGGUACGAGGGAAAGGUAAACGAGGUCGAGGUCAUCGAGGCCGUGGAUACCACACUCCCUAGUGUUUGGUCUUUUCUUAUCUUGUUUUAUUAAGCUUAUAUCCCACAAGUUUCUCUUUUCUAAGUUAUUGCUUAGCUCCAUGUGGGAAAUGUGUCUCAUCAUGCUUUUUAAAACUUUAUGGUUUCAAAACCAUACAUUGUAUGUUUUAUGUUUUUAAUUUGAAUACCCUUUCUCAAAAAAAAAAAAGAAUAUUCAACUUAGCCAGAAGACAUGGGCCAUGGCUACAUACACAUACACAUCCAGUAACCAAGAAAAUAGCUCACUAGACUUUCUCUGCUAUUCGGGUUCACCUCUGGUCAGACCAGAAAGAUCUCAAACCGCCUGCUUUGCUUGUCCUGAGCAAAGCAACAAUGGAGACAUAUCUAACAUCAACUACCCCCAUCAAUCAAAAUCUGAAACUUCAAUACAAAAGAAAGCAUAAGGGUUUUGUUCCAAAAAGAGGCAGAACGGUGACUAGUGUAGCAUCACGCCUCACUGGAGAUGACACUGUCUACAACGUGAGCAUCAAUGCACCAAAAGGGUUACGAGUCAGAGUGAUACCAAGAAGUCUACACUUCAAGAAUAUAGGAGAUACGCUAAGAUACCAAGUGAUCUUUUCAUCUUCUACAUCCACACUUAAAGAAGAUGCGUUUGGUUCAAUCACAUGGUCUAAUGGAAUGUACAGAGUUAGAAGUCCGUUCGUUGUAACAAGCAAAGCUGAUAUAUAAUAUGUUUUUCAUAAAACAUAUAAUAAAAGAGAAAUAAGGUUUGUUACACACUCAAUUAUUCAAACCAAAAGAAAAAAGAGACAACAUAACACAACUUCAAGUCACUCAAAGGCCCAUGCAUUCUCCUUGCGAACCUCAGCUUCUUCCGCAUCUGUGUAGUCUUUCUUGAUGUGGAAGAUUUCGCGAAUCUGAAGCACAGUCUUGCCUCUCAUCAUAUCGGCCACAGUCUUGGUCGUUAGGUCAAGAAGUCCAGGGAUGUUCAGAAAGUUUGCAGCCUACAAAACAUAUCAUCAAAACCCUAACAGAAUCAUGCAUGAUUAGAAACCGUAAUUGGCUAAUAAAGCGUGACUCACAAGCAUGAGAUCAAAGAGGAGAGGCUGGUCGACUUUGACGAAAUCUUCGUCCCAAGUCUUGAGCUCGAUGUCUUCGUUAGCACCGUAGAUGUCUUUGUCUCCGGCGUUGGCUCCGGCGGCUGCGGCUGCUUCGACGUGUUUCUUGCAGUAGUCGAUAACCUUGCUGAGGGUUGCACUGUUGACGUUUGCAAGAGGGAUUCCGCCAUCGGUGCAGUCGUCCUCGAUCAUGUUCUUGAUCGUCUGACACUCGAGCGCAACGGCUUCAUCGACCUCGAAAGAUUCGCCUUCGGAGCUCUCGAGGAUGAUCUUCUUCGACAUAGUUGGCAGAAUAUUAUAAAAGGCAGAGAGGGAGAUGAGAUGAUGAAUGAAUACAAAAGGUGUGGUGGAUUGGUGCUUUAUUUAUAGGACCUGAUUGUUAAAACUAGAGAAUCUAAAUUAUAUAUUAACGUUGGUUUGUUGUUAUCCAGGAAAUGAAGAAAAAAAAAUGUAAAUAUAUACUUCCAAAAUUUAAUAUGAAAUUUCCAUCUUCGGAUGAUGCUACGGGUGAAAAAGCUUUCAAAAUUGUAAAGUAAUUUUGGAAAAUAAGGAAAGGUAAAUUCAAAGAUUUUUUUUUGGGUGAAAUUAGGAACUAUUACUAGGCUGUAAAUUUAAAUACACUUAAUAUAGACCUGGCUUACAAUGUACUAAAAGAAUAAAUAUAUAUCUUGAAAUAAAAAUAUCUUUUUCAAAUUAAAAAAUAUGAUUUCUUGCCUUGUUUAUAAUGCAAUUUAUAGACAUAUAUCGUUAAGGUUGUCAAGCUGACAUGUCUUAGGAUAGGGCUGGACAUAAAUAUCUGCACCCAAAAAACUGAUAUGGAACUGAUUCGAAAAUCAGGAUAUCCGACCCGAUCGGAUCUUGCCUAAAUAUCCAAAAUGAUUCUUUUUUCAAAACCCAAAAAAACUGAGAAGGAAUCCAAUCCGCAAUGAAAAUCGAAUGAGUAUCCAAAAUAUCCAAAUAUGUAAAUAUAUAAUAUAUAUAUAUAUAUAUAUAUUAUUUAUAAUUAUGUUUAUAUUAAUACCUAAAAUUAAAAUUAUAAAUCAAAUAUUUUAGUUAUUUUGGGUAUAUAUAGAUAGAAAUUAAUGUUUUGGAUAAAAAAUACCCAUAAAACAUUCUAUCUAUAGUUGUUGUCAAAAAAAAAAACUUUGUAUAUAUGGUUACUUUUAGAUAAAAAAUAACCAAUUCGAACAAUAUAUAUAUUGAGUAUUUUUGGGUUUUUAGUUAUUUUAGAUAAGUUUGAGUAGUUUAGAUAUAAAAUACCGGAGUUGAAUUGAGUAGUUUGGUUACUUUAGUAAAACCCGAACCCACCCGGAUCAGGGAGGACCCGACUCGAACCCAAUCUGAUUUUCUAUAAGAUCCGAAUAAGAACAUUUUUUAAAACACAAAUAAUCAGAUAUCCGAAUGGGUAGUACUAUACCCGAAUGGGUAUCCGAACGCCUAUGUCUAAGUUAGGAUGUGACUAGACUAUCUAACUAGAAAACCAAAUUCUACAUGAGCUAGGUAGUAUGGGGGUAUCAGCAGAACCGUCUUUAACCAAUUUAAUAGUUUUGGUGAAAUAUUGAUAUGGGCUCUUUUAUAAACAUUUUCUUUAACUUUUCUUUAUUGAAUUUUCUUAAGUUGAACAAUAUAAUUUUUUCAUCGGAAAAAUUAUAAAAUAGUGAAACAUACAACUAAUUUAUAGGGUUUUGUAUUUUUGUUGUGUGUGAGUUAGUUUUAGUUGAUUAUGGACAUUAUAUUAUAAUGUUACCAAGUAUUUAGUCUUUUAACAAUUUAAAAUACAAAUGCUAAAGUAACUUCUGGUAUGGCUGAUUUUCUCGACAUAAAUGGAAGAGAUUCAAAAACUGAAGAGAAGAUUUUAGGAUAAGCUUAUACUUCUCGGAAACAGAAUAGGACUGCAUGAUCAUUUAGCUAGAUCUGUUCGAUCUUUUUUCAUAUGUCUCUUUCUUAUGUUGGUUAUUCCAUUUUAGACUGAUUAACCAGACCACUUUAAAAUUGAGUAAUAAAAUGUUUUUUGUUGUAAAAAGAGAAGUUGAAAUACACCUCUAUAAUUAAUAAAAUAACUCUAAAAAUAAUUGUGGGCCCGUGUAUCCAGAGGGCAACCUCCCGUGUAGUCAAGAGUCGGGACUGCAUAUCGGCAAUAUUACUCUUGCAUUAUUUUGUAACGAUGGUCAUGAUACUUACUGCCCAAUUAAGAUUAUGCAUCGGUGCUAUGGCAACUGCUAACUUAAUAAUGAAAGCCAAACGAUCAUGCGCUCGGAGCUUCUCUCAUCAAAAACAAAAAACUAAUGAAGCAAAAUAUAUAUACCCUAGUAGAUCUCGUGACGUGUAUAUUGAACAUUUGUGAUACAAGACUAUGAUAUUUUUAGACUUGGCUAGAUGUGUACUCGUUGUAUUGCUCGCAUAUCCACCCUUUGAGUUGAUGAUCAAAUAAACAACCAACAUAGAAUAUUCAACUUAGCCAGAAGACAUGGGCCAUGGCUAGAUACACAUACACAUCCAGUAACCAAGAAAAAUAGCUCACUAGACUUUCUCUGCUAUCCGGGUUCACUUCUGAUCAGAUCAGAAAGAUCUCAAACCGCAUAGCAUAAGGCUUUGCUUGUCCUGAGCAAAGCAACAAGGGAGACAUAUCUAACAUCAACUACCCCAUCAAUCUAAGUCUCAAACUUCAAUGGAGAAGAAAGCAGAAGGGUUUUGUUGGAAAAAAAAGAUGAAGGGUGACUAGUGUAGCAUCACGCCUCACUGGAGAUGACACUGUCGACAACGUGAGCAUCAAUGCACCAAAAGGGUUACGAGUCAGAGUGAUACCAACAAGUCUACACUUCAAGAAGAAGAUAGGAGAUACACUAAGCUACCAAGGGAUCUUUUCAUCUUCUACAUCUACACUUAAAGAAGAUGCGUUUGGUUCAAUCACAUGGUCUAAUGGAAUGUACAGAGUUAGAAGUCCGUUCGUUGUAACAAGCAAAGCUGAUAUAUAAUAUGUUUUUAUUAAACCAUAUAAUAAAAGAUAAAUAAGGUUUGUUACACACUUAAUUAUUCAAACCAAAAGAGAAAAGAAACAACAUAGCACAACUUCAAGUCACUCAAAGGCCCAUGCAUUCUCCUUGCGCAUCUUAGCUUCUUCCGCAUCUGUAUAGUCGUUCUUGAUGUGGAAGAUAUCGCGAAUCUGAUCUACAGUCUUGCCGCUCACCAUUUCGGCCACACUCUUGCACGUUAGGUCAAAAAGUCCACCGAUGUUCAGAGAAUGUGCAGCCUACAAAAUAUCAUCAAAAGACUCAAUCUUUACUACAUUCUAAAACCCUAAUUGGCUAAGAACACAAAGGGAAAGUGAACGAGUGACUUACAGAGGCGACAGCGAAGAAAGCAUCCUUGUCGAGGCCCUCGAGAGCUCUGGCGAAAUCUAAGUCCCAAGCCUUGAGCUCAGUGUCAUCAGCGUUGGCUUCGACGUGCUUCUUGCAGUACUCGAUAACCUUUGCGAGGGCUGCACUGUUCACGUUUGGAAUAGUGAUUCCAUUACCGGUGCGGUCGUCUUCGAUCAUGCGCUUGAUUCUCGGAGACAUGAGCGCAACGGCUUCAUCGACCUGGAAAGAUAUGCCGUCGGAGCUCUUGAGGGUGAUCUUCUUCGACAUAGUUGCAGAGUAUUCGAAAAGAUAGAGAGGGAAAUGAUGAAUGAAUACAAAGGUUGGUGAAUUGGUGCUUUAUUUAUAGGACCUAAUGGUUAAAGCUAACUAUAAAUCUUAAUUAAUUAUAUUGUAUUAAAGUUAGCAUGUUGAUAUCCUUCUAUAUAUUACUUCUUAUUUUUUUUUAUCAAGUUGAUAUCCUUCUAUUACUAUAAUAAAUAAAAAAGGAAAAGAAAAACUGUAAAUAUUACAUUCCAUAUAUUAAUAUAAUACUAGAAUAAGACAUGCGCUUUGCAUGAAAAUUAUUUAAGAAAUAUCGUAUGAAAAAAUAUCGAAUUAAUAUUUUUGGUCCUUAAACAAAAUCUUAAUUUUUUUUUGUUAAUUACAUAAUUUGUUUAUUAAUGAGCUGAUCCCAUUUUCAAAAAUAUUUUAGGUCAAAAAAAUCACUUAUCGCGUAAGAGCCUAACGUUUAGGCCAAAGAAUCUUAGGCAAACUAUGUGGUUAGAAUGAAACUAUGUCAAGUCGGUUUUAUAUCAUGAUUUAGCAAUUUAAAAGUUAAUUGUGGUUAUGAGAAGUUUAACGUUCACGUGUCAAUCAUAUAUUCUUCAAUAUUUUUCUCAAUUUUGUGUCACUUUUUCAUUUUGGUUAUUGCUCGAUAUAAAUAUUGAUUUUUGAAUUUAUUCUCAUUUCGUUAUUUUAUUUUGGCCUGAGAUUUAGAAAAUGUUUAAGAUUUAAAAUUAUUGAAGAGAUACAUGCUUACGUUAAGAUAUGCGCCUUGUGCAGAAUAAAUAUUUUAUAUUUAUUAAUGAUUUUAUGUUUUCCUGCAUAUUUAUUUUAUAUUUUUCUGCAUAUUAUGAAAUAAUAAUUAUAUAUUAAAUAACUAAAAAAUCAGUUACUAUUAAAUUGGUGUGCGCAUAUAAAUCAAACGACUGUUCUUGUUUAUUCACAAUCAUUUUAGUGUAAAUAAAUCAAAACAAUCAAUCUUAUCUAUCGUAUAUGAUAUAUAAUUAAAUUUAAAUUAUAUUAACAUAUAUAUAUAUAGUAUACUUUUAAUAUGAAUAUUUAUUAAAUAAGGUUUCUACUCAUAUGAUUUUCUAAUUAUUUGCAUAUUUGUGUAACAAAAUUUUAGACUAAUUAACUCCAUGAGAAACCUGUUACAGCCUGAUAUUGCAGCUCCAGGGGUCAACAUACUAGCAUCAUGGCUAAUAGGUGACUUAAAUGCCGCACCACAAGGCAAAGAACCGCCACUUGUCAACAUCGAAUCAGGGACUUCAAUGUCAUGUCCCCAUGUCUCAGGGAUAGCCGCUCGUCUCAAAUCUGAAAACCCUUCAUGGAGUCCUGCAGCAAUAAGAUCCGCUAUCAUGACAACAGGUAAGAACACGGUUAGGGAUUACAGAAUCAAUCAUAACCACUAGUCUUAACAUUGUCUGUAUCUGCAGCCGUGCAAAUAACCAACACAGGAUCACAUAUAACUACAGAAACAGGAGACAAAGCCACACCUUAUGACUUUGGUGCUGGUCAGGUUACCAUAUUUGGACCUUCGUCACCUGGACUGGUUUACGAAACCAAUCAAAUAGACUACCUGAACUUCCUCUGCUAUGUCGGCUUCACUUAUGAUCAGAUCAAAAGGAUAUCAACCCGUAUACCACAAGGCUUUGCUUGUCCUGUACAAAGCAGCAAGGGAGACAUAUCUGACAUCAACUACCCAUCAAUCUCAGUUUCGAACUUCAAUGGAGAAGAAAGCAGAAGGGUAAGCAGGACAGUGACUAACGUAGCAUCACGCCUCAUUGGAGAG